rnacentral:rRNA from 1 species
CCUACGGGUGGCAGCAGUGGGGGAUAUUGCACAAUGGGGGGAACCCUGAUGCAGCGACGCCGCGUGGGUGAAGGAGCGUUUCGGCGCGUAAAGCCUUAUCGGCAGGGAAGAAGGAGGACGGUACCUGACUAAGAAGCCCCGGCUAACUACGUGCCAGCAGCCGCGGUAAAACGUAGGGGGCGAGCGUUGUCCGGAAUGACUGGGCGGAAAGGGUGCGUAGGCGGCAUAAUAAGUUAGAAGUGAAAUACCCAGAGCUUAACUCGGGUGCUGCUUCUAAGACUGUUGAGCUUGAGUGCGGGAGAGGUUAAUGGAAUUCCUAGUGUAGCGGUGGAAUGCGUAGAUAUUAGGAGGAACACCAGAGGCGAAGGCGAUUAACUGGACCGUAACUGACGCUGAGGCACGAAAGUGUGGGUAGCAAACAGGAUUAGAUACCCUGGUAGUC